rnacentral:rRNA from 1 species
ACUUCCUACGGGACGCAGCAGUGGGGGAUAUUGCACAAUGGAGGAAACUCUGACGCAGUGACGCCGCGUAUAGGAAGAAGGUUUUCGGAUUGUAAACUAUUGUCGUUAGGGAAGAGAAAGGACAGUACCUAAGGAGGAAGCUCCGGCUAACUACGUGCCAGCAGCCGCGGUAAUACGUAGGGAGCGAGUGUUAUCCGGAAUUAUUGGGUGUAAAGGGUGCGUAGACGGGAAAGCAAGUUAGUUGUGAAAUCCCUCGGCUUAACUGAGGAACUGCAACUAAAACUACUUUUCUUGAGUGCAGGAGA